UCACCGACAAGCUGUUUUAGUGCGCUCAUCUGAUAUUGAACACCUCGGCUUCUUUCAUCCUGUCGGGAAGUUGGGCCAGCGAAUGGUUGUGUUUAUGUCUCCAGGUACACAUCUCCAUCUAUUGACUAAAACCCACACUAGCCAGUCAGUCUGCCAAUCCCAGAGCAAGGCGGGAAUGUUCAGCCAAUCACGGGUCAGUGAGUCGGAAUGUCGUCCCUCCAAAGCAGUAAACUGGGGGGGAAAACUGGUGAUAGGUGUGGUUUGGUGUUGUUUACUUGUGCCUGACCAAAGUUACUCAACCCGGGACAGAGGUGAUGAGGGCUGGGAGGGUGAGUGGAGUGGUCACAGGACUUCCUUCCUUCAGCCAGAGCACAUUGGUGGAUUCUUCUCGUGUCGAAAGGCUGGGUGUUAUCAUUGUUCAUCAGUUCUUUCUCUAGGACACAUGACCUGACUCGUCCAGUCGGGGGAGCUCGCGGAGGGAGCCAGACACGAGUUUACCGGAUCCCAGUUUGGGGGCGACUUGCGUCUUGAUCCCAUUCCUUGAGUAUAGUGUGUGUGGUGGGUUGGGUUGGUUCUCUGUACUCUAGGUGACCUCACUCUUCCAUACACCACUACUGAUAAACAAGUUGGCAGAGCCGAUUUGUUGUACCGGACGUUCAUGUGUCGGCUGAUCACUAAGACUCACCUGGUGACUUGAUUAUAUGUUUG